GGGAACAGAUGGUUCUUUGAUUUCAUAAGCAAGUAUGAUUAAUUUUUUGACUUUAGUCGUCUUUGGCUAUAUUUAGUUUGAACAUUGUGAAAGGAUGGGAAAAAUCAUUGCCUUUAGGCAAUCAAUGACCUAUCUGCAAUAAAUCACGGCUUCAUAUCAAGUUACAGCAAGAACAAAGUUCUUUUUCAUUUCUGAACAGUAGCUAGUUCAUGACUUUGCAUAAGAUGUAUCAGUAAAACAAGAUGAUAAAAUCACCCUGCAUUGAAACAAAAUAAACAAGAACGAUAGUCAUGAUAAUCACCGCAGAGAGAAUAAGACCAACAUAGUGCAAGUUGAACUAAAUGCCCAAUUUUGGGGCCUUCAAAUGAAAUUAAGCAUUUGCAGUUCAAAAAAAAAAAAAAAAAUAGUAAUCGAUGAAAUCCGUUCUUGCUCAACUGUACACAGGGACAUCCUCAAUCUGUUCGGAAGGUAGAAAGCAGAGCAAUGUCUUUAGUUGUCACAAAGAAAAAGGUUUUGAAUAGACAUCGAAUGUUUCGUUGGCUGUUAACUGUGGUUCCUGUCUAAAUCCGGAACUGAGACUCCCUCCUGUUAAGAGCAUUGUGAGAAGAGAUGUCACAAUGCCACCAUCAAGCCCGUUGUCUGUAUUUCGAAUGGUAGAGCGCAUUGCAUUUAACAUGUUCCCAUAUGUAGUUCCAUGUCCACGCUCAAUAGCUUGGAUGAAAGAGUAAGUCAUUGCACCUGUUGAAGUAACUUUCGAGAGAGCCGAAGUGUCAGCAGAGGUUUCAUUAUCGUCACAGCCACUAAAGGAGAUAGCUUCCCCACCAUUUGUUCCUUUCCAUACUCCUGAUCGAGGGCGAUGAUCCUCCCAGAAAUACCUCCCAUUCCUGUCCAUUCUGCAGAGAAAUGGUAAAUCCAACACAGUGCCACUAUGGCAAGCAUCGAUAAUUGCAUGAAGCUUAACCCCACGAGGAAGAGGUCUGACAAUUGUGGCAUUGAUCUCAUCAUCCACAAUCAUUCCCUGAGUUUCAAAAUCAGUUGGACAAAGUGUUUCAUCAUAUCCAUCCACCUCAUCCCCCGAGUAAUUCCUCUGCUGUGAACCGUGGCCAGAAAAGUGAAACACCAGUGAAUCUCCAGGCUUACAACCUUGCACCAACCAGUACAAUGCCAUUCUCAUGUUGUGCUUGGUUGGGCGCCUAUAAGGAUCGGUUUCUUCUUCGGUGAGCAUAACAAUGGAGGAUUCCGGGAAUUUGAAUCUGUUAACCAACAAGUACUUCAUGCACUUAGCGUCAUUAACGCACCCCAUGAGCUCAUUCCUGGUGUUCUUAUAAGAGACCCCGCAUAUCACCGCACGCUUGUUGCCGUGGGUAGAAGGAGGAGGACCCGACGGCUCGUGGUUGUACGGAGACGGAGCAAACACUGACGGGGGAGGCGGGGACGGGUAGUUGUGGUGGGCAGACGAAGAGUAAGGUGGGGGUGGUGGAACAGAGCGAGGAUCCGCGAUGAGAGUGAUGGCGUGGCAGAUGGCACAGCGAAUGGAUUUAGCGCCCGGCGGGAGCUGCAACGGCGUGCGGCAGUUUGAACAGUCCACCAGCAUAUGCAUAGCGACGCAGAGAGAUGGAGAGAUAGAGAGAGAGAAUCUAAGGAGCAGUAACAGUAGAUGUUGAAUAUGAUGAAAAGUGAAAGCUUUGAGAUAGAGAGAGGUAAAACAAAGAGAAUUGGGUGAGGUUGGUGAGGAAGGAAUACUGAGUGGAGAAUAAGAAAUCAGAAAAUUGCAGGAGAGAAAAUGAGGAAGAGAGAGGAGAGAGGAGGGAGGACAGAAAAUGGUGAGAAACAGAGGAAGGCCAAGGACUUUUGACUUGCAUGUGGGAUUCAAUUUUUACAGGCCAUUAUACAUACUAUUGGCCGGAAAACAAUCAAGAAAUCAAGAACUGACAAAUUAGUAAAGGAACAUUGCCGCGUCUUUCACCUUCAACAGUUCACAGGACCCAACUGCAUUAUUG
rnacentral:misc_RNA from 1 species